UUAAGUUCAGCGGGUAGCCCUACCUGAUUUGAGGCCAGAGUGCAAAAGUAGGGGGGUUGUGAGCGGCCCACAGUCGACGCGUAACUUACGACGUCUGCGUGAAACCACUGACGCAUUUAAGGCCAGCCGGGAAAGGCAGGGCCCAAAUCCAACGCCGCCGGGUCAGAAACCCGGGGGGUUGAGUCUACAUGACACUCAAA
rnacentral:misc_RNA from 1 species